UCCCCGGGCCCCCUCCCUCCAAAAUUAAAACGAACAGAUAAUAAGAAGAAAGCGCAAAUAUAAAACCGUGCCAAGCGCCCUCCUUACUCCCGUUCGUGAGUGCGCCACUAUUUUGAGGAUGCUGAACUUUAAAAAUUAUAAUCAAUCACCACGCAUCUAUAUACCCACUAGAAGCUGUACAAUCUGCCACAAACUGAGAUGUGAUAGAAUUAUUAUUAAACCUUAUAUUUUUUAUCAGAUAUUUAUUUUAAAUUUAUAAACUUCUACUUCAAUCUACUGAUCAAUGAAAUUUUAAAGAUGAAGAAUA
rnacentral:sRNA from 2 species